UGGGAGAUGUCAUCCAAGGCAUUGAUGGGAGGUGUCACCCAAGGCAUUGAUGGGAGGUGUCACCCAAGGCAUUGAUGGGAGGUGUCACCCAAGGCAUUGAUGGGAGGUGUCACCCAAGGCAUUGAUGGGAGGUGUCACCCAAGGCAUUGAUGGGAGGUGUCACCCAAGGCAUUGAUGGGAGGUGUCACCCAAGGCAUUGAUGGCAGGUGUCACCCAAGGCAUUGAUGGCAGGUGUCAUCCAAGGCAUUGAUGGGAGGUAUCAU